rnacentral:misc_RNA from 1 species
AGAUACCAUGUAUGCAUCAACUUCACUCAAGCCAGAUUCUCCAGCUUUUUUUCUCGGAGAGAUGAUUCAAGUCCCUGCACACAUUCCAUCAUCUGUGACAAAAAAUCUCUUGUGGUGCUGCACAUAUCCAACAGUCCUAAAGAUCCAUUCAGUGCCUCCUCUACGGAUUGGUUUUUCCUCUCAUGGCAGAAGGUUUGUUGGGUGAAUGACAUUUGAAGAAAAUCAUCAACACAGUCAUACAAUUCUUUCAGGCCGGCCAACUUUUGGCCUAUCGAUGAGCAUUGUGAUGUCUUCAACUUGUAUAGCUGCUCUUCAAUAAUUACAGUUAGAGGAUGAGUUCUAGAGGGCAAGUUGAUUGAACGCAGAUGCAAAGCGGCCAUUUUUCUAUUCUGCAGAAAAAGGCCUAUCAAUAAUAGAAAGAUACAAUUGAUCUUGCUGUUCAAGCCACCCCAUUGGACCUUAUGGAGGAGCAAUAGAACAUAUGCAAUUCCUUCUUACUAGACCUGUAUCGGUUGUCAUGUUCUGAGUUUUGUGAGACGGUGAGACUCCCGUAAAUAUCUCAUCAAUGCCAUGCUGCAACAAUUUAAGAACAAACUAUUAAAAGAAUUCAUGGUGAUUAUAAUAUUGCCAAGUUUGAUUAUUGCUUCCAUGGCUCCAGACAGAGAGAUCUCCACCAAAUUGCACAGCUUUGAGUUUGAACAUGCACGAGUUAUCAUUCUGUUAUUAUAACCUUGGUGAGCAAUAAUUGACGUAGGUAUCUGACAGAGUUGUUUCAUGAUUUGUUUGCACGAUACAUGCAGGUC